CGCCGGCUCCAGUGACCCGCUGGGUGCGAGCUGAGGCUUAAAGCGACAGCCCCGCUGCCACCUCCUCCCAGAGCCACUCCGUGCCCUGGCACGGUGCGGGGGGGGGGCUCCGGAGAAGGCUCCUCUCUCCCUGACCUCGCUGCCACGAUCCUCCUGCUAUUAGAUGAUGCUCUUAAACACACAGUGCAGCUACGUGAAUAUUUAGCUUUCCUUCCACCUCCUCACCUCCCACCCGCCACACUCACUUUACCUUAAAAAUAGAUUGGGAUCGAUUCUCCCAAACUACAUCUGCAAACACUCUCGGCUCCGCAGGCACAGGCACCACGGCAGCAAACGCUCUGUGCACACACAGACACAAUCUGAGCGUUUGGAUUUAAAGCACCAAAAUACUGAAGGACCAUUUUUAGCUCCUGAUAGUCCUCCUGCUCCUCAUAUUAUUAGAUAUGUGUGGUUUUUUUGUCUUAUUGCAAGAGCCGAGGCUGCUGAGCCAUAAGCAAUCUCUUGAUUUAAAUGUAACACUGCUCGACAGAGGGAAAUUUCUAAUUGCAAAAGGGUUUUAAACAGGGAAAGAUGGAAAUGCCACGCAGCAGCCAAAGAGCUGUUCUUACCUCACGUUUGUGAAAUGGGGCACUGGGAAGAAAAGCACUUUUCCAAAGGGGCAAAAUGGGGAUAGAGCCCCGCUGACACUCUCGGCUCUCUGUCCACACUUGUCCUUCAUUCUCAUUUUUCACUACAAAAGUAGGAAAUUGCUUUAACCUGAACAGAAAAUGCAGCUUUGGGGAACUGCCCAUGCUAUUCCACACCAGUAAAUUCAUUUCCAGGAGUCACAUAGUAAUUUCCAGAGAAAGAUGGAAACUGUGUGGCACCUGAGACCAGGACUCCUGGCUCGGUACCUGGCCCCAACUAAAGAGAGAAAGAAGGGUGGAGGGAGGGCAGGGCACAGCCACAGCUCCUGUGAGCUCAACACCACUGCUGCAGCCCCAUUCCCACUGGGGCUGAGAUCAGGGGAUCCAUGGAUAGAGAGGGGCAACAGGGGAAUGAACCAGGAUGGGGACUCUACCCCGAUCUGAAGAGCUGGGUUGCCUUGGGAGAGCUCUGCAAGGGGGAAUCUGCAGCUGGUAUGGGGGGAAAUGCAGAAAAUGGGUGUAACAGAGGGGCAGAGCCCACACACACGAGGUCGGUGCUUGGAACAACAUAAGGAAAUGACAUUUUCCCUCUGAGUUUAGGAUGCAGCAAAGGAGAAUGAGUGAGACAUCUGUGAUCUGCAGAGACACCACCUACAACGUCAGGUUGGAGCUCAGGGAGCUGAGGGUGUCCUGGGCACACGUGUGCCCUGCACUGUGCUGUGCCCAGCCCCUGGCACAGCCCAUCCACACCCUGCCCAGGCCCAGGACGUGCACACACUUCCCUUGGAGCAUGAAAUUAUCACCCUCACUUGGACUGUUUUCAAAGAUUUUUCUCCCUUUAAACAACUCGCCCACUCAUCCCUAUAAACGCCAGUGCUAAAAGCUGGUUCUGUUGUUAAGAUUUCAAAUAACUCGGGUUUUAUUGUUCCAAACAAAAUCAAAAUAACUCACCUACGCUCCCUCCUUCCGUAACACAGUCAGUGCUGACCUGUUGGGACCGUGCCCUGCUGCCACACACGGCUCAAACUCAGGCCUGUGGCUCAGCAGCAGGUGACAACCUCAUUGCUGAUUGCAUUUGGAGGGAGCCUUGGGGGUGUCUGGCUCAAGUGUUACUGACACCUCUGCUGCUUGCAGUGCUGAGCUGACUGUCUGGAAGCCACUGCCACCAUGACCAGAUUGGGCCACUUUGUGCCACAACCACAUUAAUACACUUUUUCCUCAGCUACACAACAAGCUGUCCUGAAAUCACAGGUCAGUCCAGCCCUUACUGCUGAGACCAGUGGGAAUUACUUCUGGUUUCUCUUCUGUGUAUUCCAACGGUCCUCUGCAGUUAAUGUAGCAACUUUUCCACAUGGAUUUUGACAGCUUUUACCAUGCCAGGCUGGGUUUCCCUGUCACUGGUUAACAGAAACACACCAGCCUGGAUUUAGCACCUGGAGCUUCUUUUACUAACCAAGGACACAAGGUAGAAGCAUUCUCAUUCCAGGUCAGUCUCUGCAAUCUGUGCAGAGGAUGAGUGGUUCUAGAGGUCAAUCUGACCUAUCAAAAACCUGGGGAUUCCCUUAAACACCAAAACUGGGAGUGAACCUGAACUACUGCUUGAAAUAACUCCAGUUGGAGGUGGAUGACAACAAGCAGCGAGUUUGUGGGGUGUAGCUCUCACCCAGGGCUGUGGUACCUGGCUGUGCACACCAACACACACCCAAGCAGCAAAACACAGGAUUUUGGCUACAGCUCAUUGCAGUGAUUUACUCUGCACUUGGAGAGGGGUGGAACCAGGACCAUGCUCAGCCGUGGAGUCUCAGCUGAGCAGCACUAAUUUGCUAAACUGAAAUAACUACGGUGCUUGAAAGGGUAUAACCCAUAUUCCUGAUUAAUUAGCACAAGGUUAAUAUAUAGAACACUUCCUCUAUCUACCUCCCCACUCCAAGCCCCAUGGAGCAGGGCAGGUGAGCUCCUCUCGGGUGAUGGAGACAAUCCAACUCUCCAGCUGCAGAGAUGCCCUGCUCCCCCCAGCCCCUGCACCUCACACUGGAACCUCCUGACAGUUUGCUUUGAAAACGCUUUGCAAAAAAAGCCUGCUCGUCUCUGGAUUGCCAAAAUUGUGCUGCUUUCUUGAAUCAGACUUUUAUUUAGACACCUACUUGCUCUGAGCACAGCGAUGUUUUACAAAGGAGCUGAGCAGAUGCAGCACCUUCCCCAGGGGUGGUGGGGAUGGGGGAAGUUGGUCGUGGAGCUGUGCACACCCAUCCACAUCAGCACCCAUAACACAUCCAGCCUGCACAUAAACACCCCUGGCUCAGCGAACGCCCAGAUCUUAAUUAUUAUUUACUCACACGCCAGUAAUGCCUGAAGGCCGCGUUCAAGAUCAAGGCCUUGUUGUGCAAGGCACCCCACAAAACACGAAAUCCUGGCCCUGCUGGGGCAGGGAGGCUUCCUGGGGCUGGUACCUGUGGGUUUGCCACUGCAGCGAUGGUCAGACACAGCCCUGCUCAGUAGAGUUGAAACAGGCAAGACAAAAAUCACAUGCAAAGGCAGGAGCAGCUUCUCCUAUCAGCCAAAAGCAUCUCCUGCUCUGGUACCUGCUGCUGCAAAGGGCAGGAUGAAACUACACCCUGUUUGGGGUUUGCGCCACAUGACAGUGCCCAGAGAUCACUGGGAUUCAAGUGGCUUUAGGUACAGGCAAAGAAUCCUGCUGGGACUUUCCUGCAGGUCCCAGGGGAGUGGCACCUCCUGCACCCAGGCACACGCAGCGCCUCGCUCUGCUGGCUCUGUUGGGGCUGCAUCGACUGCUCAUCAAUGAGCACUGCAGGGAGCUGGAACUUCCCCUGUGGCACAGACAGCACGAUCCAGGAUGGAAAAGUUGGAUCCCUGGGAUGGUUUGGGGCCCUGCUCUAAUUGCACAUCUCCCCAAGGGAGCCUCUCCAGCCACCCCUGCACACGGAGCACUUCACUGGGCUCAGCUCUGCCAGGGCUUCUGGGGCCACACAGGGAAUGGGAAGGAGCCGGGGGCUCUGAAAAACCAUUAUUUGGGCUUUUUCAGAUUAAUUGGUGUUAACUGCCUUGGGAGGCUUAAAAAUAGCUCUGCUAAUGGGAAAUGUGGACGCUGAAGGUGAGGUGCGAGCAGAGGCCACGUUAACCUGACACGGGCUGUGCCCAGCCUGCAGCCAGUGCCAAAACCAGGGACACCUUCUGUCCAGCUGGGAAUUGCUGCCUGCACCUCUAACCCUGACCCCCCCCUCAGCUACCUUCACACUCAUCUGGGGACAGGGGGAACCUUCCUGCUGCCACGGAGGUUUUAUCAGGAGAGCUCCCAGACACAGCCCUUGAACCUCCCUGUGAUUUAUGGAUUCCCAUCCUUCUCCUGCAGCCAUGGAGGAUCCUCAGCCAGCUCCCAGGGGGCCUCAGUUUCCCACACCCUAAGAACAGAUGCAAGGACAGCUCAGAGAGACCCCAAAGCCUCUGCUCACCCCAAGGUCAUCCUAAAUCCAGAGGAGAGGACUGCACUGGAUGGGACAGUGUCUAUCCAAAAGCAGUGGGUUAAGGAACAACCUGUCCCCCGAGAGUUUGCCGGGAGAAAAGGUUGUGCAAGGAGGAAAGCAGACCUCAAUUACGGCUUCAAAGUGCCAAUAACUGCAAACUCAGUUACAGUGAGCCAAGAGGAGAAGAAUGGAUUGGCAGAGCUUGGUUUGUCACCUCCAGCCCAGGUCACAGACCUUCAGGCCUCUAACACGAGUCUGCUGGGUGACCUUGGACAAGCAGCUCAGCUUUUACCUCCUUCCUAGAGCAGAUUCCUCUGGUAAGAGGCUUUUUCUUACAGUUUUCUACCUCCAGAGCCAGCCUCCACCCGUAGCCAGUUAAGGAUGGAAUAUGGAGUCCUUCCUACAUUCCCCUGACCCUCAUCCUGAGGGAUCUGAGAAACAUCCAGACCCUGGGUGCCCUUGGUGUCAGCCCUGCAGAUCCCAGGCUGGGACACCCUCCCACACACGGCACAGCCCUUGGGUUCUUUUCCCUGCGUGUGGCUGAUGCACAGGCACGGGCUUGUACAAAUCCUGCCUCCAUCUCCCUUCCACACGGCACAGCUUCGAUCCACAGCCUGACCUCAGCCUGGGAGCAGGGAAAACACAGAAAGAGGGUGUGCAAGCAACAGAAAUAGCCCAAAGACAGGGAGCUCGGGGUCACUGAUCCCUGCAGCCCCUACAGACACUGCCCUGCCAAUACCAGCCCUGUCCUAGGGAGCACAUGGAAGUUUCCUGCCUUCUCAGGAAGGGUCAUUCCUGGGUUCAAUCCCUUGGAUCUGCCCCUCAGGAAGGGUCAUUCCCAAGUUCAAUCCCCCAGGCACGACACUCACCUGCAGCAGAGGCAACUCUGCCCAGCUCUGCCCUGCCUCCCUCUCACUCACAUAGGCUCAUUGGAUAAUUACAGAGAAAACCAAGGCAAAUCCCAAUUUUAGUGCCAUUAUAAAACAGAGAGGGGGAAUUCAUUACCUGGCAGCUGUUAAUAUUCAAGGAAGAAACUGAUAAUUUGCCUCUGAGGCAACGAAUGCAGCAGAGGCAGCACAAGCCAGAAAAUGCUGCUGCCUCCCCCCACCUUCACCGUGCAGCCACUUUUUGCAGAGGUUUUCUAGCCCCACAUUCAUUUCCCUGCCUCCCAUGCCAGCACCGAAGUCCCAGUGAAGAAUUACUGUCAGGGCUCUGCAGAACUCCCGAGAGCCUUGGCUCUGGCUCUGCUGCACCUCCAGAUUUGGGAGAGCAGUUCUUACACCUCUCCUGGCUCGUGCAGCAUCAGUGCAACCUGAGCCAGAGAGCAGGAGCUAAAGAAGGACUGUGCACCUCAACAAAGAGACUCAGAGAGAAAGACAGGUCAGACAAUUUAAGAUGACUCUGGGGACACAACCAGAUCCCUGACUGCUUCUCCCGACAGCCCAAAUCCCUGGAAGAGCCUCCUCAUACCUGUCAGGCUCGAGAUCUCCAGGUUUUCCUGCACAUCCUGCCUCCAGCUAGGAAACAGCACAGCCUCCCUGCCCCGAGCACUUUGGAAGGUCCCAACAGGAAGAUAAAGCACUCCAAGAACAAGCCACGGCUCAGUGUUUACCUGCUCACUUCCAAGAGGACUGACACCACCACAGCAGCCUCCAGGUGUCAUAGGAACAGUCUUAAAUUUAGCAGCAGCUGCCUUUCCUCUCUCCCUGGCUCCGGCUGCUCCCUUCCUCUCCACUCCCCAGCUCUCAGAGCACGUUUACACCAGAAAGUCUGACCAGCACUAAUGGCAUAAUUAUACCCCUGCAGCUGAGCAAACAUGGAGGCUGUGGGAUAAAGGAGGGUGUGAUUUGCACUGCCCUUGUGUUGUGGGAGAUGAAGCAGGGACCAACCUGACGUUAAAAGAGAGGGAAGAUGCACCACAGAGCAGCAAAGGCUGCCUGGUGUAAACCCCACGUUCCAGCUCCUGAGGGAAUUGAGGAAGUGUCAAUCUCCUCUCAAACAAGACGAGGUGACCAGGGAAAUGAUACUGUGGGGCCAGAAACCCCCAAGGCUGACACAUCCUUGCACCCCAGCCCAUUCUGCAGUUCCCAGUGAAGUCACAGGGGAUGGAUGGAGACACCUGACAGCCAAGAGCUGCCUGGACAGCCCCUGGUUCAGCAAGGACAGGCAGGAUCCUCCAGCUCUGCUCCCUGCCACCGCCCCCAGGGCUGACCCUCAGAGGGUCAACCACGAGCAUCCUGCAACCCAACAAUCCCCCAGGAACUCCUGAGACACAAAACCAUCAGAAGAACUCUGGCAAACUGCCUCUGGGGCGGGGUCGUAUGACCUACAAAAAAAUUCCCUUCUUUUACGGUUGCUUCUCACUGUAAUCAUAAAAAAGGCCUUAUAAAAACAUUUGUCCCAGGGAAUGUUUGGUGAUGCAGAGUGCUUGAAAAUUGUGGUGUCUAAAUACAUCAGCAACCCUGCAAGUCGUCACUGCAAUCAGACACAGCUCCUCUUUCCCUUGACUAUAAAUGGGCUUGGCUGAGGACAGAUCUGGAGAGUGACGAAUCACUCCCUGGGAAGGGGAGAGCCCAGAGGAUCAGGACCAUUUCCAGAGUGCAGAAGGGGCAGUCAAUAACUAACUCAUGUAAGCACAAGUUAACUAUUGGGAGACAGCAAAUGUUAGUUCAGACAGAAGAUGUUAAUUACAAAGCCUAAGAAGCCGAAUUCACCCUAAUCUUGUCAAGAUAGAGGGGACAAGGAUCAUCUCAGAGACCACUGAAUCAUUCCUCAAAGGACUACACAUGCCCAGGGAGAAAGGUGAAAAGUUCAUGAGAGGAUGACUACUGGCCUUCAUCAGAGAAGACCCCCGAGGAAGAGGAGAGGCCUUCCUCAGCGCGACCACCAGGACACACAGCGCAUGUGUGGCCCAUAUGCUAAUGACUUCCGAGAAAUAAUUUGUAUAACCACACCUGUCCCAAGGAAUGUGAUGAAUAUUCAUAAUUUAGCCCAUCAUACUGUGUUGUAGAGAGCACCAGGUGUGUGUGUUUGAAGAAGCGAUCCCCACACACCGAAUAAAGCAAAUACCCACAUCUC